rnacentral:rRNA from 1 species
UACGUAGGGGACGAGCGUUGUCCGGAAUUACUGGGCGUAAAGGGCGCGCAGGCUGCGCGUCGAGUCGGCUGUUAAAGAUCCGGGCUUAACCCGGUGAAGCGGUCGAGACCGACGAGCUGGAGUGCUGCAGAGGCAAGUGGAAUUCCCGGUGUAGCGGUGAAAUGCGUAGAUAUCGGGAAGAACACCGGUGGCGAAGGCGACUUGCUGGGCAGCAACUGACGCUGAGGCGCGAAAGCCAGGGGAGCAAACGGGAUUAGAUACCCGCGUAGU